CACGGGGGUUGCGAGCGUUGUCCGGAAUUACUAGGCGUAAAGGGCAGGCAGGCGGAUCCAUAAGUUUAUCGUUUAAGGCGUCGGCUUAACCGGCGUAGGGCGGUAGAUACUGUGGAUCUGGAAUGCGGUUGGGGAAGACAGAAUUCCUGGUGUAGCGGUGGAAUGCGCAGAGAUCAGGAGGAAUACCGAAGGCGAAGGCAGUCUUCCAAGCCGUUAUUGACGCUCAACUGCGAAGGUGUGGGUAUCAAACAGGAUUAGAUACCUCGGUAGUCCCUGAG
rnacentral:rRNA from 1 species